GUGCGGGGUAUGUGUGGUCUGUGAGUUAUUGCAUAGGUGCGAGGUUUUACCCUGUGCGCACCUAAAGGGUAGUGGCUGCUGGUUUCCCUUAUCAUAACCCUGGGUUGCUCUAAAAAAUUCCAAUCUUGCAAACACAUAACCAUGAUAUUAAAGAUACAGAGUGCACCCAAAGGAUAGUGGCUGCGGGUUUCACUUAUCAUAAAAAUUAUAUAUAUAUAUUCUCUAUAACCUGUCCCUGAGUUUGUCUCAAAAAUUCCAAUCUUUUAUACACGU
rnacentral:misc_RNA from 1 species